GAUGAAGAACGCAGCGAAAUGCGAUAAGUAAUGUGAAUUGCAGAAUUCAGUGAAUCAUCGAGUCUUUGAACGCACAUUGCGCCCCCUGGUAUUCCGGGGGGCAUGCCUGUCCGAGCGUCAUUGCUGCCCUCAAGCACGGCUUGUGUGUUGGGCCCCCGCCCCCCGGCUUCGGGGGGCGGGCCCGAAAGGCAGCGGCGGCACCGCGUCCGGUCCUCGAGCGUAUGGGGCUUCGUCACCCGCUCUGUAGGCCCGGCCGGCGCCCGCCGGCGACCCCAAUCAAUCUUUCCAGGUUGACCUCGGAUCAGGUAGGGAUACCCGCUGAACUUAAGCAUAUCAAUAAGCGGAGGA
rnacentral:misc_RNA from 1 species